AACGAACGCUAGCGGCAGGCUUAACACAUGCAAGUCGAACGCCCCGCAAGGGGAGUGGCAGACGGGUGUGUAACGCGUGGGAAUCUACCCAUCUCUGCGGAAUAGCUCUGGGAAACUGGAAUUAAUACCGCAUACGCCCUACGGGGGAAAGAUUUAUCGGGGAUGGAUGAGCCCGCGUUGGAUUAGCUAGUUGGUGGGGUAAAGGCCUACCAAGGCGACGAUCAUAGCUGGUCUGAGAGGAUGAUCAGCCACAUUGGGACUGAGACACGGCCCAAACUCCUACGGGAGGCAGCAGUGGGGAAUAUUGGACAAUGGGCGCAAGCCUGAUCCAGCCAUGCCGCGUGAGUGAUGAAGGCCUUAGGGUUGUAAAGCUCUUUCACCGAUGAAGAUAAUGACGGUAGUCGGAGAAGAAGCCCCGGCUAACUUCGUGCCAGCCGCCGCAGUAA
rnacentral:rRNA from 1 species